rnacentral:rRNA from 1 species
UACAUGGGGUGCAAACGUUGCUCGGAAUUAUUGGGCGUAAAGCGCGCGUAGGCGGUUACUCAAGUCGGAUGUGAAAGCCCUCGGCUUAACUGAGGAAGUGCACCCGAAACUGAGUAGCUAGAGUACUAAAGAGGGUCGCGGAAUUCCCGGUGUAGAGGUGAAAUUCGUAGAGAUCAUGAGGAAGACCAGUGGCGAAGGCGGGUCUCUGGACAGUUCCUGACACUGAGGCACGAAGGCCAGGGGAGCAAACGGG